rnacentral:rRNA from 1 species
GACGAACGCUGGCGGCGUGCUUAACACAUGCAAGUCGAACGAAGUGGCGAACGGGUGAGUAACGCGCAAUCAACCUGCCCUUCAGAGGGGGACAACAGUUGGAAACGACUGCUAAUACCGCAUACUGAAGGAGGGGAUUGCGUCGGAUUAGCUAGUUGGAGGGGUAACGGCCCACCAAGGCGAUGAUCAGUAGCGGGGCUGAGAGGAUGAACGGCCAAAAUGGGACUGAGAACCGGCCCAGAAUCCUACGGGAGGCAGCAGUGGGGAAACUGCCGGAAUGGAAGAAAGUCUGACGGAGCAACGCGGCGUGAGGGAGGACGGCCUUCGGGUUGUAAAGCUCUGUUAAUCGGGACGCGGUACCGGAAGAGAAAGCAACGGCUAACUACGUGCCAGCCGCCGCGGUAAUAC